rnacentral:rRNA from 1 species
GACGAACGCUGGCGGCGUGCUUAACACAUGCCAGUCGAACGGUGAAGCGCCUUCCUUUUUGGUGGGUGUGGAUGAGUGGCGAACGGGUGAGUAACACGUGAGUAACCUGCCCCCUUCUUCUGGAUAACCGCAUGAAAGUGUGGCUAAUACGGGAUAUUCUGGGUCUGUCGCAUGAUGGGUCUGGGAAAGAUAUUGUUUCGGUGGGGGAUGGGCUCGCGGCCUAUCAGCUUAUUGGUGGGGUGAUGGCCUACCAAGGCGGUGACGGGUAGCCGGCCUGAGAGGGUGGACGGGAACACGGGGAAGGAGACACGGCCCAGACUCCUACGGGAGGCAGCAGUGGGGAAUAGUGCACAAUGGGCGCAAGCCUGAUGCAGCGACGCCGCGUGAGGGAUGGAGGCCUUCGGGUUGUGAACCUCUUUCGCCAGUGAAGCAGGCCUGCCUCGUUUGUGGGUGGGUUGACGGUAGCUGGAUAAGAAGCGCCGGCUAACUACGUG